rnacentral:rRNA from 1 species
GGAAAAGAAAUCAACCGAGAUUCCCCCAGUAGCGGCGAGCGAACGGGGAGCAGCCCAGAGCCUGAAUCAGUAUGUGUGUUAGUGGAAGCGUCUGGAAAGGCGCGCGAUACAGGGUGACAGCCCCGUACACAAAAAUGCACAUGCUGUGAGCUCGAUGAGUAGGGCGGGACACGUGGUAUCCUGUCUGAAUAUGGGGGGACCAUCCUCCAAGGCUAAAUACUCCUGACUGACCGAUAGUGAACCAGUACCGUGAGGGAAAGGCGAAAAGAACCCCGGCGAGGGGAGUGAAAAAGAACCUGAAACCGUGUACGUACAAGCAGUGGGAGCACGCUUAGGCGUGUGACUGCGUACCUUUUGUAUAAUGGGUCAGCGACUUAUAUUCUGUAGCAAGGUUAACCGAAUAGGGGAGCCGAAGGGAAACCGAGUCUUAACUGGGCGUUAAGUUGCAGGGUAUAGACCCGAAACCCGGUGAUCUAGCCAUGGGCAGGUUGAAGGUUGGGUAACACUAACUGGAGGACCGAACCGACUAAUGUUGAAAAAUUAGCGGAUGACUUGUGGCUGGGGGUGAAAGGCCAAUCAAACCGGGAGAUAGCUGGUUCUCCCCGAAAGCUAUUUAGGUAGCGCCUCGUGAAUUCAUCUCCGGGGGUAGAGCACUGUUUCGGCAAGGGGGUCAUCCCGACUUACCAACCCGAUGCAAACUGCGAAUACCGGAGAAUGUUAUCACGGGAGACACACGGCGGGUGCUAACGUCCGUCGUGAAGAGGGAAACAACCCAGACCGCCAGCUAAGGUCCCAAAGUCAUGGUUAAGUGGGAAACGAUGUGGGAAGGCCCAGACAGCCAGGAUGUUGGCUUAGAAGCAGCCAUCAUUUAAAGAAAGCGUAAUAGCUCACUGGUCGAGUCGGCCUGCGCGGAAGAUGUAACGGGGCUAAACCAUGCAC